rnacentral:rRNA from 2 species
GAUUAAGUUAUUAAGGGCGCACGGUGGAUGCCUUGGCACUAGAAGCCGAUGAAGGACGUUACUAACGACGAUAUGCUUUGGGGAGCUGUAAGUAAGCUUUGAUCCAGAGAUUUCCGAAUGGGGAAACCCAGCAUGAGUUAUGUCAUGUUAUCGAUAUGUGAAUACAUAGCAUAUCAGAAGGCACACCCGGAGAACUGAAACAUCUUAGUACCCGGAGGAAGAGAAAGAAAAUUCGAUUCCCUUAGUAGCGGCGAGCGAAACGGGAAGAGCCCAAACCAACAAGCUUGCUUGUUGGGGUUGUAGGACACUCUAUACGGAGUUACAAAGGACGACAUUAGACGAAUCAUCUGGAAAGAUGAAUCAAAGAAGGUAAUAAUCCUGUAGUCGAAAAUGUUGUCUCUCUUGAGUGGAUCCUGAGUAUGACGGAGCACGUGAAAUUCCGUCGGAAUCUGGGAGGACCAUCUCCUAAGGCUAAAUACUCUCUAGUGACCGAUAGUGAACCAGUACCGUGAGGGAAAGGUGAAAAGCACCCCGGAAGGGGAGUGAAAUAGAACCUGAAACCGUGUGCUUACAAGUAGUCAGAGCCCGUUAAUGGGUGAUGGCGUGCCUUUUGUAGAAUGAACCGGCGAGUUACGAUUUGAUGCAAGGUUAAGCAGUAAAUGUGGAGCCGUAGCGAAAGCGAGUCUGAAUAGGGCGUUUAGUAUUUGGUCGUAGACCCGAAACCAGGUGAUCUACCCUUGGUCAGGUUGAAGUUCAGGUAACACUGAAUGGAGGACCGAACCGACUUACGUUGAAAAGUGAGCGGAUGAACUGAGGGUAGCGGAGAAAUUCCAAUCGAACCUGGAGAUAGCUGGUUCUCUCCGAAAUAGCUUUAGGGCUAGCCUCAAGUGAUGAUUAUUGGAGGUAGAGCACUGUUUGGACGAGGGGCCCCUCUCGGGUUACCGAAUUCAGACAAACUCCGAAUGCCAAUUAAUUUAACUUGGGAGUCAGAACAUGGGUGAUAAGGUCCGUGUUCGAAAGGGAAACAGCCCAGACCACCAGCUAAGGUCCCAAAAUAUAUGUUAAGUGGAAAAGGAUGUGGCGUUGCCCAGACAACUAGGAUGUUGGCUUAGAAGCAGCCAUCAUUUAAAGAGUGCGUAAUAGCUCACUAGUCGAGUGACACUGCGCCGAAAAUGUACCGGGGCUAAACAUAUUACCGAAGCUGUGGAUUGUCCUUUGGACAAUGGUAGGAGAGCGUUCUAAGGGCGUUGAAGCAUGAUCGUAAGAACAUGUGGAGCGCUUAGAAGUGAGAAUGCCGGUGUGAGUAGCGAAAGACGGGUGAGAAUCCCGUCCACCGAUUGACUAAGGUUUCCAGAGGAAGGCUCGUCCGCUCUGGGUUAGUCGGGUCCUAAGCUGAGGCCGACAGGCGUAGGCGAUGGAUAACAGGUUGAUAUUCCUGUACCACCUAUAAUCGUUUUAAUCGAUGGGGGGACGCAGUAGGAUAGGCGAAGCGUGCGAUUGGAUUGCACGUCUAAGCAGUAAGGCUGAGUAUUAGGCAAAUCCGGUACUCGUUAAGGCUGAGCUGUGAUGGGGAGAAGACAUUGUGUCUUCGAGUCGUUGAUUUCACACUGCCGAGAAAAGCCUCUAGAUAGAAAAUAGGUGCCCGUACCGCAAACCGACACAGGUAGUCAAGAUGAGAAUUCUAAGGUGAGCGAGCGAACUCUCGUUAAGGAACUCGGCAAAAUGACCCCGUAACUUCGGGAGAAGGGGUGCUCUUUAGGGUUAACGCCCAGAAGAGCCGCAGUGAAUAGGCCCAAGCGACUGUUUAUCAAAAACACAGGUCUCUGCUAAACCGUAAGGUGAUGUAUAGGGGCUGACGCCUGCCCGGUGCUGGAAGGUUAAGAGGAGUGGUUAGCUUCUGCGAAGCUACGAAUCGAAGCCCCAGUAAACGGCGGCCGUAACUAUAACGGUCCUAAGGUAGCGAAAUUCCUUGUCGGGUAAGUUCCGACCCGCACGAAAGGCGUAACGAUUUGGGCACUGUCUCAACGAGAGACUCGGUGAAAUCAUAGUACCUGUGAAGAUGCAGGUUACCCGCGACAGGACGGAAAGACCCCGUGGAGCUUUACUGUAGCCUGAUAUUGAAAUUCGGCACAGCUUGUACAGGAUAGGUAGGAGCCUUUGAAACGUGAGCGCUAGCUUACGUGGAGGCGCUGGUGGGAUACUACCCUAGCUGUGUUGGCUUUCUAACCCGCACCACUUAUCGUGGUGGGAGACAGUGUCAGGCGGGCAGUUUGACUGGGGCGGUCGCCUCCUAAAAGGUAACGGAGGCGCUCAAAGGUUCCCUCAGAAUGGUUGGAAAUCAUUCAUAGAGUGUAAAGGCAUAAGGGAGCUUGACUGCGAGACCUACAAGUCGAGCAGGGUCGAAAGACGGACUUAGUGAUCCGGUGGUUCCGCAUGGAAGGGCCAUCGCUCAACGGAUAAAAGCUACCCCGGGGAUAACAGGCUUAUCUCCCCCAAGAGUUCACAUCGACGGGGAGGUUUGGCACCUCGAUGUCGGCUCAUCGCAUCCUGGGGCUGUAGUCGGUCCCAAGGGUUGGGCUGUUCGCCCAUUAAAGCGGUACGCGAGCUGGGUUCAGAACGUCGUGAGACAGUUCGGUCCCUAUCCGUCGUGGGCGUAGGAAAUUUGAGAGGAGCUGUCCUUAGUACGAGAGGACCGGGAUGGACAUACCUCUGGUGUACCAGUUGUCGUGCCAACGGCAUAGCUGGGUAGCUAUGUGUGGACGGGAUAAGUGCUGAAAGCAUCUAAGCAUGAAGCCCCCCUCAAGAUGAGAUUUCCCAACUUCGGUUAUAAGAUCCCUCAAAGAUGAUGAGGUUAAUAGGUUCGAGGUGGAAGCAUGGUGACAUGUGGAGCUGACGAAUACUAAUCGAUCGAAGACUUAAUCAA